rnacentral:rRNA from 1 species
GACGAACGCUGGCGGCGUGCUUAACACAUGCAAGUCGAACGGAAAGGCCCUGCUUUUGUGGGGUGCUCGAGUGGCGAACGGGUGAGUAACACGUGAGUAACCUGCCCUUGACUUUGGGAUAACUUCAGGAAACUGGGGCUAAUACCGGAUAGGAGCUCCUGCUGCAUGGUGGGGGUUGGAAAGUUUCGGCGGUGGGGGAUGGACUCGCGGCUUAUCAGCUUGUUGGUGGGGUAGGGGCUUACCAAGGCUUUGACGGGUAGCCGGCCUGAGAGGGUGACCGGCCACAUUGGGACUGAGAUACGGACCAGACUCCUACGGGAGGCAGCAGUGGGGAAUAUUGCACAAUGGGCCGAAGCCUGAUGCAGCAACGCCGCGUGCGGGAUGACGGCCUUCGGGUUGUAAACCGCUUUCGCCUGUGACGAAGCGUGAGUGACGGUAAUGGGUAAAGAAGCACCGGCUAACUACGUG